AAAAAUCCAAAGCCAGAAUGCUUUCAAACAAACUAAGAAAAAGAUGAAGAUGAAGCAGCUAAAAACUUACACGCCGGCCUGAGUUGUGACGGGCUGACUAGUAAGGGCGUGAUGCGACUGACGAGUGAUGCCGGUGUGAGUCUUGACAGGAUGACGGGUGAGGACGUUAGCCGUGAGGCAGAGAAUUGGUAAGGGCGUGAGCCGUGGUGAGGCGGAGAACUGGUGAGAUUGGGCCGUAGAGGUGCGGCAGAAAAAUUGAAAAACU
rnacentral:lncRNA from 1 species